rnacentral:rRNA from 1 species
GUGAGGGACGUGUCCCUUUUUGUAUGUACCUUACGAAUAAAGAACGGCUAACUCCGUGCCAUCACCCGCGGUAAUACGGAGGAUCCAAGCGUUAUCCGGAUUUAUUGGGUUUAAAGGGAGCGUAGGUUGACAUAUAAGUCAGCUGUGAAAGUUUACGGCUCAACCGUGAAAUUGCAGUUGAUACUGUAUGUCUUGAGUGUACAAGAGGUGGGCGGAAUUCGUGGUGUAGCGGUGAAAUGCUUACAUAUCACGAAGAACUCCAAUUGCGAAGGCAGCUCACUGGGGUACAACUGACACUGAGGCUCGAAAGUGUGGGUAUCAAACAGGAUUAGAUACCCUGGUAGUCCACACAGUAAACGAUGAAUACUCGCUGUUUGCGAUAUACAGUAAGCGGCCAAGCGAAAGCAUUAAGUAUUCCACCUGGGGAGUACGCC